AUUCUCAGGAAUUAGUCAUUCAAAAGACGGUGAGGAAAAGAAUGGUCGACAAACCUUGUGUGGUGCCUUAACAGUCCAACAGACUAAGGGAUAGAUAAAGGUGGAUCUUGAUUAAACUGCCUGGUUUUGUGGUUUGCACGAGACGGUUGACACAAUGAUCUGAAGUUUAAACUGCCAUAUUCUACUGUCCGCUGCGAGAUCUUGGCUGGAAUGUAAAAGGAAUAUCCAAAAUAUUUAAAUGACAAACAGGAUGGGAACUGAUUAUGAGGAAUAUGCUGAAACAGACAUCUGGCAUAUUCCUAUAAUCAGUAUCAUGGCCUUUGUAUACAACAAAAUUGAUUGGAACUCCUAGACUAGAAAUAUAAUUCAAGAUUUAAAUAAGGCACUGGUCAUAGUUUUAGAAAGUGUGGCUAGCAUUCUGAAGGAAGACAGAGAGAUGGGAAGACAUCAAAGAAUGGACAGGUCUGCCAUGAAAUGGUUUAUCCAGGGCUAAGUACAGAGAGGAAUAUAGAAGGGCUGUUGACAGAUCUUGUGUGGUGCCCCCAAGGU